rnacentral:rRNA from 1 species
UCGGCUCGUAAAACUCUGUUGUUAAAGAAGAACAUAUCUGAGAGUAACUGUUCAAGGAUUGACGGUAUUUAACCAGAAAGCCACGGCUAACUACGUGCCAGCAGCCGCGGUAAUACGUACGGGGCAAGCGUUGUCCGGAUUUAUUGGGCGUAAAGCGAGCGCAGGCGGUUUUUUAAGUCUGAUGUGAAAGCCUUCGGCUCAACCGAAGAAGUGCAUCGGAAACUGGGAAACUUGAGUGCAGAAGAGGACAGUGGAACUCCAUGUGUAGCGGUGAAAUGCGUAGAUAUAUGGAAGAACACCAGUGGCGAAGGCGGCUGUCUGGUCUGUAACUGACGCUGAGGCUCGAAAGCAUGGGUAGCAAACAGGAUUAGAUACCCUGGUAGUCCAUACCGUAAACGAUGAGUGCUAAGUGUUGGAGGGUUUCCGCCCUUCAGUGCUGCGGCUAACGCAUUAAGCAUUCCGCCUGGGGAUACGGACCGCAGGGCUGAAACUCAAG